GACGAACGCUGGCGGCGUGCCUAAUACAUGCAAGUCGAGCGGACGGAUGGGAGCUUGCUCCCUGAAGUCAGCGGCGGACGGGUGAGUAACACGUGGGCAACCUGCCUGUAAGACUGGGAUAACUUCGGGAAACCGGAGCUAAUACCGGAUAAUGCAUAACCUCUCAUGAGGCUAUGCUGAAAGAUGGUUUCGGCUAUCACUUACAGAUGGGCCCGCGGCGCAUUAGCUAGUUGGUGAGGUAACGGCUCACCAAGGCAACGAUGCGUAGCCGACCUGAGAGGGUGAUCGGCCACACUGGGACUGAGACACGGCCCAGACUCCUACGGGAGGCAGCAGUAGGGAAUCUUCCGCAAUGGACGAAAGUCUGACGGAGCAACGCCGCGUGAGUGAUGAAGGUUUUCGGAUCGUAAAACUCUGUUGUCAGGGAAGAACAAGUGCCGGAGUAACUGCCGGCACCUUGACGGUACCUGACCAGAAAGCCACGGCUAACUACGUGCCAGCAGCCGCGGUAAUACGUAGGUGGCAAGCGUUGUCCGGAAUUAUUGGGCGUAAAGCGCGCGCAGGCGGUCUCUUAAGUCUGAUGUGAAAGCCCACGGCUCAACCGUGGAGGGUCAUUGGAAACUGGAGGACUUGAGUGCAGAAGAGGAGAGUGGAAUUCCACGUGUAGCGGUGAAAUGCGUAGAUAUGUGGAGGAACACCAGUGGCGAAGGCGGCUCUCUGGUCUGUAACUGACGCUUGAGGCGCGAAAAGCGUGGGGAGACAGGAUUAGAUACCCUGGUAGUCCACGCCGUAAACGAUGAGUGCUAAGUGUUAGAGGGUUUCCGCCCUUUAGUGCUGCAGCAAACGCAUUAAGCACUCCGCCUGGGGAGUACGGCCGCAAGGCUGAAACUCAAAGGAAUUGACGGGGGCCCGCACAAGCGGUGGAGCAUGUGG
rnacentral:rRNA from 1 species